rnacentral:rRNA from 1 species
GGGCCAGUUGGUGCCAGCCGCCGCGGUUAUUCCAGCUUCAAUAGCGUAUAUUAAAGUUGUUGCAGUUAAAAAGCUCGUAGUUGAAUUUCGGGGUCAGUACGUUGGUCGUGCCACUGGUAUGUACUGGCUUUACUGAUUCCUCCUUCUUGAAAAACUGUAAUGCCAUUAAUUUGGGGUUGGGGGAAACCAGGACUGUUACUUUAAAAAA